rnacentral:misc_RNA from 1 species
UGAUUCGUCCGAGAUCGGUGAGAUGUGGAGGUUUGAGGAUCAGAUCCCGAACUACGAUGCUUUCGAACUGGAAGGUGGAGAUGUGUAUAGCGGCAGCGAUACGGCGGAGUAUGUGGCGUUCGAUGGACUGAUGGAGUAUUCGAAUCUGUGUUUUGAUUCGUCAGAUAGCUCGGAUUUUCUUUGGCGGCAAGAAUCUCUGCCGGCGCAGUAGGUAGAAACGUCGCCGAUUUGUAAAUGUUUUUGGUUUAGAUUUGUUGAAGGGGGAAGAUGGAAAGGUUUGUAGGACUAGUGUGAUACAGAUGCCGCAGAUGAAAAUAGAAAUUGGUUCGUUUUUUCUUUCUUUUUAAGUUUG